CGGGAAGUGCGGCAGGCUACACAUGCAGUCGAGCGCGCCCUUCGGGGUGAGCGGCGGACGGGUUAGUAACGCGUGGGAACAUACCCUUUGGUACGGAAUAGCCUCUGGAAACGGAGAGUAAUACCGUAUGAGCCCUUCGGGGGAAAGAUUUAUCGCCAAAGGAUUGGCCCGCGUUAGAUUAGGUAGUUGGUGGGGUAACGGCCUACCAAGCCUACGAUCUAUAGCUGGUUUUAGAGGAUGAUCAGCAACACUGGGACUGAGACACGGCCCAGACUCCUACGGGAGGCAGCAGUGGGGAAUCUUGGACAAUGGGGGCAACCCUGAUCCAGCCAUGCCGCGUGAGUGAUGAAGGCCUUAGGGUCGUAAAGCUCUUUCGCCUGUGAAGAUAAUGACGGUAGCAGGUAAAGAAACCCCGGCUAACUCCGUGCCAGCAGCCGCGGUAAUACGGAGGGGGUUAGCGUUGUUCGGAAUUACUGGGCGUAAAGCGCACGUAGGCGGACUGGAAAGUUGGGGGUGAAAUCCCAGGGCUCAACCCUGGAACUGCCUCCAAAACUAUCAGUCUAGAGUUCGAGAGAGGUGAGUGGAAUUCCGAGUGUAGAGGUGAAAUUCGUAGAUAUUCGGAGGAACACCAGUGGCGAAGGCGGCUCACUGGCUCGAUACUGACGCUGAGGUGCGAAAGCGUGGGGAGCCAAACAGAAAAGUUCGGCUGGACGAAG
rnacentral:rRNA from 1 species